ACCGGGAUGGACACACCGCUGGUGUACCAGUUGUUCCGCCAGGGGCAUCGCUGGGUAGCUAUGUGUGGCCGGGAUAAGUGCUGAAAGCAUCUAAGCACGAAGCCCCCCUCAAGAUGAGAUUUCCCAUUGCGCAAGCAAGUAAGAUCCCUCAAAGACGAUGAGGUAGAUAGGUUCGGGGUGGAAGCGUGGCGACACGUGCAGCUGACGAAUACUAAUCGAUCGAGGACUUAACCAAAUA
rnacentral:rRNA from 1 species